UACAGAGGUCCCAAGCGUUGUUCGGAUUCACUGGGCGUAAAGGGUGCGUAGGUGGCAGUGUAAGUCUGAUGUGAAAGCUCCGAGCUUAACUCGAAAAUGGCAUUGGAUACUAUAUUGCUGGAGGUUUGGAGGGGGGACUGGAAUUCUCGGUGUAGCAGUGAAAUGCGUAGAUAUCGAGAGGAACACCGGUGGCGAAGGCGAGUCCCUGGACAACACCUGACACUGAGGCACGAAAGCUAGGGGAGCAAACAGG
rnacentral:rRNA from 1 species